rnacentral:rRNA from 1 species
AACAAGGAUUCCCCCUAGUAACUGCGAGUGAAGCGGGAAAAGCUCAAAUUUGAAAUCUGGCAGUCUUUGAUUGUCCGAGUUGUAAUCUAGAGAAGUGUUACCCGCGUUGGACCGUGUACAAGUCUCCUGGAAUGGAGCGUCAUAGAGGGUGAGAAUCCCGUCUUUGACACGGACUACCAAGGCUUUGUGGUAUGCUCUCAAAGAGUCGAGUUGUUUGGGAAUGCAGCUCAAAAUGGGUGGUAAAUGCCAUCUAAAGCUAAAUAUUGGCGAGAGACCGAUAGCGAACAAGUACCGUGAGGGAAAGAUGAAAAGAACUUUGGAAAGAGAGUUAAACAGUACGUGAAAUUGCUGAAAGGGAAACGCUUGAAGUCAGUCACGUUGGCUGGAAAUCAACCUUGCUUUUGCUUGGUGUACUUUCUAGUUUACGGGUCAGCAUCAGUUUCGACCAGUGGAAAAAGGCAUGAGAAAUGUGGCUCCCUCGGGAGUGUUAUAGUCYUGUGUUGUAUACAUUGGUUGGGACUGAGGAACUCAGCACGCUGCAAAGCAGGGGUUCGCCCACUUUCGUGCUUAGGAUGCUGGCAUAAUGGCUUUAAUCGACCCGUCUUGAAACACGGACCAAGGAGUCUAACAUGCCUGCGAGUGUUUGGGUGGAAAACCCGAGCGCGUAAUGAAAGUGAAAGUUGAGAUCCCUGUCGUGGGGAGCAUCGACGCCCAUACCUGAUGUUUACUGACGGAUAUGCGGUAGAGCAUGUAUGUUGGGACCCGAAAGAUGGUGAACUAUGCCUGAAUAGGGUGAAGCCAGAGGAAACUCUGGUGGAGGCUCGUAGCGAUUCUGACGUGCAAAUCGAUCGUCAAAUUUGGGUAUAGGGGCGAAAGACUAAUCGAACCAUCUAGUAGCUGGUUCC